UCUGCUUCCCCUUCUCGCCUGCUUUCAAUUCGAGCAAUGGGAGGCUCCAGUCACCAAUUGAGCCAAAUCUGGGCUGCUCCAGCCCCACCCUCAAGCUCCUCAUCUGCAGGAGCCUAAAAUUCUUUUGUAAUUCAGGGGGGACAGGCGCCUGGGCUCUGAGCAGGCUCUCACUGACUCCAUAUCCUGAGACCCUCGUCUGCACCGCGACCACCCCUCCUCCCCGUGGUUUGACGGCUUAUUCUGGAACCGCGGCCGCGGCAUGACUCUUGCAGACCCUGGCAUCCUCUCUGGCGCGCUCUGCUGGGCGCACGUAGGAAAAUGGGAGGAAGCAGUGACAUUGAAUUUGGUGAUGAUUUCCUAACUAUGAAUGAAAAAUGUGACCUGGGAAAGGAAAUAGGUGGUAAGAACACCUGAGACCGUCUCUCUCAGCCAAGUUCAAGCGCUCGGUCCAGCAGUGCCAGCCACAGACAGCCGUCUGGUCAUGGUGUCCAGAAUGCAGUCCUCUUGCACGCCUGACAAUGGAUGGCCCUCAGUCCCAACCUCAUCCUUCCUCUCCAGUCCCUCGAAGCUAUCAUUUUACCCGAUAUAUUCUGAUUCAACGCAUAGCCAAGCUCCUGUAUCUUUUCUGUGUCAGGCUUAUUUAACAGUGGUCACUUAGUGGACACUUAGCCAUGUCUUCAUGCAGAGAAACGUUUCUCCGUUUUCAAGGCUGAAUAAUAUUUCUUGGGAUAUUUUCUCAUGCAGUCAUCUGUUGACACAAGUCCGUACUCCAGCUACUGAGUACAAUACUAAGUAGACACAGGUUGCAGGAAUCAGAUCCCCAAAGUCAUUUUCUUGGAGCUUUCUAGGGUCUCGUGGCAAUUCUUUUUCUAACCUUUUAAGAACUCUUCAUACUGUUUUCUAUAAUGGUAUCCACCUUCCCACCAACAGGGCACAAAAGUUGGUUUCCCCACCAAAGCUUGGCAUCUGCUAUGGUUGGUCUCCAUCAAGCUUAGUCCCUCUGUGGCCGUGAGGAGGCAGAAGCUCUAAGAAAGGGGAGGAUGUAGUAGGUGAGUGGGCCUUGGGGUUCCACCACUGUGAUGGUGGAUCCGGAUGCCACAAAGUUGGCUGAGUCUCACAGGAGAGGAUUAGUCCCCAAGACUCCUUAAAGUAAGCCUGGUCUCCCUCCAGUCCCCUGCUUCCUGUGUUGUAGUACAUGAUUUCACCACCAGGAGGCCAUCUCCAGUCAAGCAGAUGCUGCACCAAGUUCUUGACCACCCAGAACUGUGAGCUAACACCCUUUUUCUUUACAUUUACAUGCUAUUACCCUUCGUCAUAGUGGUAAAAGCUAUCCUAGUGUGUGUAGUUUGGGUAUGCAUUCUCUGAUUAGUGGUAUCGUAAGCAUGUCUUUGGGGGAAAAGUAUUGUCAAACCUUGUCCCGUCAUAAUUAGUUUGUGUGAGUUUCGCUAUCAAGUUGAGUUUUUGCUGUAUUUACGAAUUUCCCACUAAGCUAACACAGUCUCUCAUAGGCAUGCCUGGAGGAUCAUCUAGAAACUAGAUCCUGUCGUUGAAUAUCAGUGCUAGUUUACAGGAGAGCACUAGCUAUUGGGUCGUACAGAGUUGCCGAAGGCCCACUAGGCUUUGAGCAGGGGCAUCUACAAGGGACACUUUCGAGGUGGGUGCCUGAGCCUCUUGACAGAGCUUCCAAGGCAUCUGUAGACCAAUCAUUCUUCGUUGAGUUCCACAACCCAGUCAUUAUGAACCCCACGCCUCUUCCCUGUUCCUAGCUAACUCCAGACUAUUUAUUUAGGGCAGGACAUCAGUGUUUGAGU